CCUACGGGAGGCAGCAGUGAGGAAUAUUGGUCAAUGGGCGCGAGCCUGAACCAGCCAAGUCGCGUGAAGGAUGACUGCCCUACGGGUUGUAAACUUCUUUUAUAAAGGAAUAAAGUGAGGCACGUGUGCCUUUUUGUAUGUAUUUUAUGAAUAAGGAUCGGCUAACUCCGUGCCAGCAGCCGCGGUAAUACGGAGGAUCCGAGCGUUAUCCGGAUUUAUUGGGUUUAAAGGGAGCGUAGAUGGGUUGUUAAGUCAGUGGUGAAAGUUUGCGGCUCAACCGUGAAAUUGCAAUUGAUACUGGCAGCCUUGAGUGCAGUUGGGGUAGGCGGAAUUCAUGGUGUAGCGGUGAAAUGCUUAGAGAUCACGAAGAACUCCGAUUGCGAAGGCAGCCUACUAAGCUGCCACUGACGUUGAUGCUCGAAAGUGUGGGUAGCAAACAGGAUUAGAUACCCUAGUAGUC
rnacentral:rRNA from 1 species